rnacentral:rRNA from 1 species
CCUACGGGAGGCAGCAGUGAGGAAUAUUGGUCAAUGGACGAGAGUCUGAACCAGCCAAGUAGCGUGAAGGAUGACUGCCCUAUGGGUUGUAAACUUCUUUUAUAUGGGAAUAAAAUGUUCCACGUGUGGGAUUUUGUAUGUACCAUAUGAAUAAGGAACGGCUAACUCCGUGCCAGCAGCCGCGGUAAUACGGAGGAUCCGAGCGUUAUCCGGAUUUAUUGGGUUUAAAGGGAGAGUAGGUGGAUUGUUAAGUCAGUUGUGAAAGUUUGCGGCUCAACCGUAAAAUUGCAGUUGAAACUGGCAGUCUUGAGUACAGUAGAGGUGGGCGGAAUUCGUGGUGUAGCGGUGAAAUGCUUAGAUAUCACGAAGAACCCCGAUUGCGAAGGCAGUUCACUGGACUGCAACUGACACUGAGGCUCGAAAGUGUGGGUAUCAAACAGGAUUAGAUACCCCAGUAGUC